AUACGAAGGGGGCAAGCGUUGUUCGGAAUAACUGGGCGUAAAGCGCACGUAGGCGGAAUGUUAAGUUAGAGGUGAAAUCCCAGGGCUCAACCCUGGAACGGCCUUUAAUACUGGCAAUCUAGAGACCGAGAGAGGUGAGUGGAAUUCCGAGUGUAGAGGUGAAAUUCGUAGAUAUUAGGAAGAACACCAGUGGCGAAGGCGGCUCACUGGCUCGGUACUGACGCUGAGGUGCGAAAGCGUGGGGAGCAAACAGGAUUAGAAACCCUAGUAGUCC
rnacentral:rRNA from 1 species